rnacentral:misc_RNA from 1 species
AACCUUAUGGACCUGCGGGCGUAUACCUGCGGAGGGAUCAUUACCGAGUGAGGGCCCUCCGGGUCCAACCUCCCACCCGUGUUUAACGAACCUUGUUGCUUCGGCGGGCCCGCCUCACGGCCGCCGGGGGGCACCCCGCCCCCGGGCCCGCGCCCGCCGAAGACACCUGUGAACGCUGUCUGAAGUUGCAGUCUGAGACACUAGCUCAAUCAGUUAAAACUUUUAACAACGGAUCUCAGA